UACAGAGGGUGCGAGCGUUAAUCGGAAUUACUGGGCGUAAAGCGCGCGUAGGCGCUUUUCAAGCCGAUUGUGAAAUCCCCGGGCUUAACCUGGGAACUGCAGUCGGGACUGUCUAGCUAGAGUAUGGGAGAGGGAAGUGGAAUUUCAGGUGUAGCGGUGAAAUGCGUAGAUAUCUGAAGGAACAUCAGUGGCGAAAGCGACUUCCUGGACCAAUACUGACGCUCAUGUGCGAAAGCGUGGGGAGCAAACAGGG
rnacentral:rRNA from 1 species